GACCAGCUAGCUCCGUCAGUAAAGCGUGAGACUCUUAAUCUCAGGCUCAUGGGUUUAAGUCCCAUGUUGGGACUUCCA